rnacentral:misc_RNA from 1 species
GAUGAAGAACGUAGCGAAAUGCGAUAAGUAGUGUGAAUUGCAGAAUUCAGUGAAUCAUCGAAUCUUUGAACGCACAUUGCGCCCCUUGGUAUCCCGAGGGGCAUGCCUGUUCGAGCGUCAUUUCACCACUCAAGCCUGGCUUGGUGUUGGGCGACGUCCUCUUUGGGGACGCGCCUCGAAACGCUCGGCGGCGUGGCACCGGCUUUAAGCGUAGCAGAAUCUUUCGCUUUGGAAGUCGGGGCCCCGUCUGCCGGAAGACCUGCUCGCAAGGUUGACCUCGGAACAGGCAGGGAUACCCGCUGAACUUAAGCAUAUCAAUAAGCGGAGGA